rnacentral:rRNA from 1 species
GGUUCAUUCAAAUUUCUGCCCUAUCAACUUUCGACGGCUGGGUCUUGGCCAGCCAUGGUGACAACGGGUAACGGAGGGUUAGGGCUCGACCCCGGAGAAGGAGCCUGAGAAACGGCUACUACAUCCAAGGAAGGCAGCAGGCGCGCAAAUUACCCAAUCCCGACCGGGGAGGUAGUGACAAUAAAUACUGAUACAGGGCUCUUUUGGGUCUUGUAAUUGGAAUGAGUACAAUUUAAAUCCCUUAACGAGGAACAAUUGGAGGGCAAGUCUGGUGCCAGCAGCCGCGGUAAUCCCAGCUCCAAUAGCGUAUAUUAAAGUCGUUGAGGUUAAAAAGCUCGUAGUUG